AAGAUACCGGGGGGCGGGUUUAAGCGCCGACUGUGUCCUUCGCGAAGCUUCCCGACUACGAAGGGCACCGUUACGACGCCGAGAGCUACGGAGGCGACGACCCCGGUGGGGGUGAUCGGUAGCAAUAAAAGGCGCGAGGGUGUCGUUCGGGGACGAACGAGGGAAAAGGGCCAAAGCGGGUAUCUUCGGAAAAGGAGGUGAAUUUAUGCCGCUGCUUUUUGAAGAAGCUGGUUCAACCAGUCCGAUCAUAAUCCACUCCAUAAAGUCCAGGUUCAACCAUUCCGAUCAUGAUCCACUCCCUAAAACGGUUCCAGCUGGUGAUUCAACGAUUAAACCGGGGUGGAGCUUGUGGGUGGUGAGAUGGACAGUAUCUACAUCAUCUUCAUCUCCUUCUCUCACCCUCCACUCGAAUUCCUGCACGAGUCGGCCGAUAGCUACACAGGAUAUCAGCAUCGCCUGAAGAGAUCCGGCACAA